rnacentral:rRNA from 1 species
UGAGGAAUAUUGCGCAAUGGGGGAAACCCUGACGCAGCAACGCCGCGUGGGUGAAGAAGGCCUUCGGGUUGUAAAGCCCUGUCAGGUGGGAAGAAAUACCGACAGGUGAAUAGUCUGUCGAUCUGACGGUACCACCAAAGGAAGCACCGGCUAACUCCGUGCCAGCAGCCGCGGUAAGACGGAGGGUGCAAGCGUUGUUCGGAAUUACUGGGCGUAAAGAGCGUGUAGGCGGUCUGAUAAGGAGAGUGUGAAAGCCCGAGGCUCAACUUCGGAAUUGCACUCUAAACUGUCAGGCUUGAGUACGGGAGAGGGAAGUGGAAUUCCUGGUGUAGAGGUGAAAUUCGUAGAUAUCAGGAGGAACACCGGUGGCGAAGGCGGCUUCCUGGACCGAUACUGACGCUGAGACGCGAAAGCGUGGGGAGCAAACA